CCUUGGCUCGCUACGCUAACGGGAAGUUACGUGAGGAGGACAUGGAGCACAGAGGGAAACCUGUCCCCUAAUCAGCUUUGGAACGCUACAAUUACCUGUGCCAGAGCCAGACCUGCAGGAGAUCCUGCAAGCAGAACACUGGCGGUGGUGAUCCAGAGCAUGGGGUCAUUGUAGCAGAGGUGCCAUGGCCCUUGUCAGCUGAAGGUCUGUCUUGCUGCAGCACAGCAAGUAAACCCCACCGUUGAUUCCUCUUCUUGUGGACGGGACAUCUAUAUGCAUGUCCUUCAACUGACCUCAUUUAUUGGAUGAAGUUUCUCAUUGACAUACUUGAUGCACAUCUCAUGUGCUGAUUCUAAAACAAGUAUGCACUUUUAACUAAUCACAAAUAAAGCACGGUAAAUAAA